rnacentral:rRNA from 1 species
UAAGGAAUAUUGGUCAAUGGGCGGGAGCCUGAACCAGCCAUGCCGCGUGCAGGAAGACGGCCUUAUGGGUUGUAAACUGUUUUUAUCGGGGAAUAAACCUGCUUACGUGUAGGCAGCUGAAGGUGCCCGAAGAAUAAGCAUCGGCUAACUCCGUGCCAGCAGCCGCGGUAAUACGGAGGAUGCAAGCGUUAUCCGGAUUCAUUGGGUUUAAGGGGUGCGCAGUGGGAAUGUUGAGUUAGUGGUUAAAUUCAAGGGCUCAACUGGUGACCUGCCAUUGAUACUGUCAAUCUAGAGUAUAGUUGGGGUGGGCGGAAUGUGUCAUGUAGCGGUGAAAUGCUUAGAUAUGACACAGAACACCGAUCGCGAAGGCAGCUCACUAAGCUAAAACUGACGCUCAUGCACGAAAGCGUGGGGAUCAAACA